AGUGGAUGACAGCAGUUCCUCCUACCUCCGCUGCAUACUUCACUCCAUCCACCGUGUGCUCAGAGCCGUGAUCAUCGGAGGAGCCCCAGUGAAGGUGAAACUGGCGAAGUCGGUAGGGUCCAAGAAGAGGACCGCCUCUCAGCACUGUGGUUCAGAUAAGCAAGGGUGGAAUCUGUGCCAUACUUGAGUGUGGGAGCUUCACUCCAGAUUGUGGCUGAGGAGCUCCGGAGUCCUCAGCUACUGGCCAUCAGAACUGGGAUUCGUUGCCAUUGUCAUCUCAAGCUCCACUUCAGGAAUGCACUGCCAGAUUUUGUUCUGGGCAUAGGACCAUUUGUGGCAAUGAAGAGACCAAAGUUAGAGAGUGAGACACUCCUCUUCAAUACACAAAGAUAUUUCUCUACAUCUGAAGCAAAGAAGAAUGUCAUCUCUGCUUUCAGGGAUGAAAUGCUCCCUCUUCCCACUAAUUCUGUUACUGUGUCUGGAGUCACACAUUGCCUGUAUAGACAUGAAAAACGUCUAUGUGCCUCUUCCUAAGCAUUAUACUUACUUGAUCUGU